UUGCAGACACCCUCAAUCCGCUUGCUCAGUCGCGGGACGGCACUCAGGACUUUUCUGAGUAGAAAUGAAGCUAACUGAACAGACGGUGUGGACACAGGAUAUUUGCCUACACUACGUGAGACGCGGACCCCAAGCUCUGUCCACACAGCAGUUCCUAAUUCACAUUCUCCCUAAAUACUCCGGAGAGCAACCCAGCAAUUUCCUUCAACUAAUGCACCAGAGGAGGAAUUCAGGAACCUCUAGUUACGAAUUUUGCUCCCGCCUCCCCCUCCAAAGAAACUGUAUGCUUCGCAGGUGGGGCUUGGGGUCUUCUCCAACAGAUUGCCAUCAAGAAAUUGUGACUCAAGUCUAGUCAUGCAUGAGCCAGGCUUGAGAUCUGCUCUACCAGCCGUGUGAUUUUUCACAAAUGACAUACCCUCUCUGAGACUUGUGUUCAAAAUGUAUAAAAGAGAGAGAAUAAGGCCUCUUUGUCAAAGUUGGGUGCGGGAACUCAAUGGAGUGAUGUGGGUGGAGUCUCUGGAACAGCGUGGGCAUGGAGCAGGCGUGUGCUAAACACCAGAUUCCUUUCAUCUCUGCCCUGAGCAGGGGUCCUAACAGCAUCUGAUCCCCUCCCCCGCCACCCACUAAAGACUAUGGCCUCCCAAGCGCAUGAGUCACUUGCAAAUUUAAACUAUUAAUAUACAAUUGCUUUAGUGCAUUUUACAUAAGAAACUAAAAAUUGUUACAACUAUUGAUUCCAGAAUUCUGUCAAGACAAGAAUUAUCAGCCUCAAUGUUCCUUCCAUGGCUCUUCCCACCCUGCCUGCCUGCCGCACAGCUGUGCUUGCCAUGUGUUUGUUGAAUAAAGGGAUGGCUGGUGUGUUAGGUCAGGCUAGCAGAGAGCCUGGCCACCACAGCAAACGGUCUUGUGCUUCUUGGAUGCUAAGAAGCCCAGAAGUUUGAGAUUGCUGGCCUUGUUUUCACUGCUAAAGAAUGGCAUCGGGGCCCCAGGCUCACCCCGGUCCUUAUCAAGUUGCUUUUUCAUCCUCAGUCUUGUUUCCUCUUGGUUUCAAAAGUGCUGCUGCAGCCCCAGACAUCAUGUUUACCUUCAAGACAGCAAGAAGGGAGACAGGAGGAGGCUGUGGCCAUGUCUGUGCCUUUCAUCAGGAAAGCUAGAAAUUUUGCAGAAGCCAGGGGACUUCUGUUUUCAUUCAGUGGGCCUCUGGCUGCAAGAAGAAUGCAUUCAUCUGGGUUGAAUGGUGGUUCUUUGCUAACAAGGCAGAGGGCAGGGGUGGGUGUAGGGGGGAUUGCUAAAUGGGUCUGUCAUAAACUCCAAAUGACCCGAGUGUAGCCACUUAGGAGAGAGGCUGGAAAUAGUCUGAUGGAGAGCCUCUGUGGGAUCUUAGGGACUAGGGCUAGUCCUGCCCUAGGGUCUCUGUCAUUCAGAGGCCUGUUACUUUUGUGAAGACUGAAAGGAAAGAGAAUGUGAAACAGUCCAUAUACACACAAAACAACUAUUAGUUUCUAAAGCUAGGACAUCUUACAGAACGAGUCGUCCGAUGUCUGUUGGGGGACAUUACCUUGAUCCUUCUGGCUUAUUCAAAUUUGUUUCUAGAAGGUACUUGUUGUGGCAAUAAAUGAAAACGAUUGGCUUUUGAAACAAACACGCCUACAUUUGUCCAUCUAAAUGAAGGUCACUGUGGGCAAUCUUGGGAAAAAAUACUUUUAAGUAAUACAGCUGUCUUUGCCCAAGACAUCUAUGUGGUACUUAAAAAUUCAGGUUAAGAGUCACGUACAAAAACCAGUUUGCUUGUUUUAAGGCAGCCCUCAGUUUUCCUAAAAAUGCCUUAUUUAUUCAAAUUUGCUCAUUCGCCUUGCUCCCCAGACUCAGCUCUGAAUGACUCAGCUUUUUCUCGCAUUCGAAUCAACCCUUAGAGUUUGACGGCUUUCAAAUUGUUUUUAAUGGGAAGCCAUUCAAAACAACUUGCCACAAGGUUUGAAAGCAGUUCAAGUUUUAGGGACACUGAAAUAUGCAUCUCGCUUCUCAAGGUGACUCCUUUGGGGGACCUGGGCAGCCGGAGGUUGCGAAGAAUCAGUUGCAUAAUCGUGAUGUAUCUUCCCCUGCUGUGGAGAAGGCUGUUGCGUCUGCCUGAGGCCGGUCACGCUGGGGAGGCCCACACUCCCAGAGGGGAGGCCUGCAGAGCACGAGUCGGCACCGGGAGGAAACCAGAAAGAAGUCAGCGUCCCCAUGAAAGACACGGAGGUGAAAAGCGAUGAGCUUUGCCACUUAGCUGGACAGGCGGACGGGCUGUGCACCGAGGCCCAUCUGGUGUUGGGAGCUGCCAACGCACGGGACUAAGGACCAGCGUCCAGGUACUGAGCAAGCACGUGCGCCUUGCAUGGGUGACGUUGGAAAUCACAGCUGCUCCAGGCUGGGAGAUUUAAAUUAGGGCCUCAUAACUGCCAGUGCCUUCUCUUCCGUUUUUCGUUCACGCUCGUCCCACAAACAUUUAUUAAGUACCCACUAAGUGCCAACUACUGGUACCAUGACGCUUAGUCGUUUGGGAGCCUAAGUGAUUACAACGUAAAUCUGCUUUUCUGGCCGAGCCUGAAACAGCGGCCAGAAGCCUCUGCAGGAAAACCAGCCCAUUAUUGUCUUUAACGAAGGCAGGUGGCGCAUACAGAUAAUUUAUCACACGCAGCACUUUCAUCCAAGUAAUGUCAAGGUCUUUAAAACUAUUAUAACUGCCCCACACCCCUGGUUCAACGUUUCACGCGCCCGGAUGCGGUUUGCUGGGCGUUCAGGGCAGGCGGCGAUCAGCACACGGUCCAGGGAAGCUGGCAAGGAGGGCUCUGCUGUUUGGUGACCAGGGACAGUGGAGCGAGCUCGUUCACCAGGAAGAGAGAGGCCACAGGAAAAUCAGCCCAAGAACGUGUAUCCAUGUAUACCCGCGUACAGAGAAUUGGAUUCGAUCCCUCCAGGUUGGAGGACACGGAAGAGGGUUGUCCUGGUGUGAGCUGAGGACCGGGACGGUACCACGCUCUUGGGAAGCAUGGAGGUUGUCACGCCUGUGCCUCAUUCUGUGCCCCCCACGCCCCCUCCACCACUGCCAGAGGCCUUUUCUCAGAGGGACUUCCCAUCCCUGUGCCUGCCGCCGUCUUGCCUAAAAUCCCCAACUCUUAAACCUCCGCGUGCAGUGGUCACAUCUCGUGAGCCCUUUGCUGGGUAACCCUGGCUCACUUCUCCAGAGGCAUCUCCCAUCCUGUCCUGGGAUCACCCCCCACAUGUACACGCACACACACACAACACAUGCAUUACACAUGCAUGCACAACACACAUGCAUAUACAUGCACACGAAUACACACACAUCCACAUGCACACACGCACACAGGUAACACACGCUCACAUGCACACACGCACACGUGCACACAUAUACACAUACACAUACAAGCACACACCCCGUGAAGCACCAACCCUCCCGCCUGGCCAGGCUCCCUUCCUCUCCAGCUUCUUUGCCUGGUUCUCUCCUGCUUCACUUUAUUCUCGAUUCCACCAGCGUGCUUUUCCCCAGGAACCCUCCAGCUCCUUCCAGUGGGAAGGCAGCUUCUUUCCGGAUGCCCCGAGUCCCCAGCUCACAGACAAGGAGAGACACAUAACUGGAGAUAAACCUGUCCUCCAAGUAUAAAUGCCCACAGGAUCAGAGCUAAAUCCUCCAGUGAUCAAAUUCGGGCCAAGGCCUGUGCAAAUUGCAAAUGUUGCCAACACUUAAGAGUGUUUCCAGCGAGCCAGGGGCUAUUCAUACAUUAAUAUAUUGAAUCCUCCUAACAACCUUCUGGUGACUGCUAUGAUCAUCUCCGCUACACAGAGAACUGAGAGGCACAGAGAGGUUAAGAACUUUCCCAAGGUCACAGAGCUGGUAAGUGGAAGGGACCGGAUUUGAACCCAGGCAGCUCUGGAGCUGGUCUCUUAACCAGAGCCUAGAGAGCCUGGCCUCCCUGAGGGUCCCCACCCCCAGGGCUCUGUCACCCAAGAAUCCUCAUGACAUGACACCGGAGAAGCCCCGUUCUUCUGGUUACCCAUGCUGUAUAAUGAAUUCAAGGGCAUCAAACAAGAACCAUUUUAUCAUGCUUAGGGUUUCUGUGGGUCAAGAACUUGCAUGGAGUGGAAUGGGGAUGGAUGGAAGCCUCAGCGGGGAAGACACGAAUGGCUUGGGGCGGGCGUCAUCUGGAGGCUUCUCGGCUCUCAGCACCUGGGCGGGGAUGACCUGAAGGCCGGGUUCUGCAAUGGCGGAUGGAGGCCCUGCACAUGGCUUGGGCUUCUCCCAGCAUGGUGACUGGGAUCUGAGCAGGAGCACCCCGAGAGGGAAUAUUCCAGAAGAACCGGGCAGAAGCCUCGGGACUUGUUCUGACCUAACCUCAGAAGUCAUGCAGCAUCACGUCUGCCACAUCCUAUUCGUUACAAACGAACCACAGGCAGCCCAGUUUCCAGGGGCUGGAAGAGACUCUACUUCUCGACAGGGGAGUGACAAGGUCAAAUUGCAGAAGAGCAUGAGGGAUGGGAGGGAACACUGUGGAAAACACAGCUUGCCACACACCUGCCCACUUCAGAAACUUCCUUGUCUCAAUUUGAGGGACCUCAGUCCUCAAGGUAUGAACUUCUCACCUUGGUUGUCUUCUUCCUGUGAAUGAGAAACCACCAUGGAUGGGUAACAUAUGAGCAUUUUAGGUGGACUAAUUUACCUAAAAUUGUGAUCUAGUUAGAGAAGGCCCAGCUGUUCCUGACAGUGGCCUCCGGAGUCUCACCUGGUAGCUGGGUGAUAGAAGACAAGAAAAGCACUACUUUUCAUCAACUCUGUACACUUCUGACCUAAAUCCAUUCGGCAAUUUUGUUGCUCGGGAGCUUGUUGAGAACAUAGGUUCCGGGGCCCGUCCACAGAGUCUGGUUGAAUUGUCUGGGGGCUGGGCAGCAUUGGUCUUUUUUACAGGGUCCCCAGGUAAUGCUACUGUACACCUGAUUUGGAGGACACCUGUGUUAGAUGAAGAGCUUUGUGACUGCCGGGUUAGACACCCGGUAGGUGCGUGAUGCUUUCACUGGCUCCCGGAACGACAUACUCUUUUUAAAGCAUUUAAAGCGUUUAAAGAAUUUGGCCCAUUGGCCAAGGCUAAGUAGCUAUUUGUGCUGAAAAAUUAUGGGGCAGAUGCAACCUGCUUAGCUACUAUGUUCCUUUGUGGUGGCCCGUAGACGCAGAACCAAAAUGCAGACUCAUUGCGUGGCUGUAAUUCUUUAUAAUAAAGGGGCCAAGAGCAUUUCCUCCAAGGACUACUUGCCUUUAAAUGACCCUCCAGAGGGAGACAGAAGGAGGCUCCCACUAACCUUUCUCUCCCUGGCCUUGGGCAGUGUGGCAGGGUAAUUUGCGCAAAUGAUGCUCAAAUAUGUUGGCAGCAAUCUGGGUUUUUUGUUUUUUGUUUUCCUUAACAGGGAGGCACAAAUGCUUGAGCUGGUACAUUUAAAUAUUUUAGAUACUCCUAAAAUGCCAACUGGCUGGACCCAUCUUUUUUUCCAGUUUGGUGUGACACACACAAAUGCCAAUUCACGCAACUGAUUCAUAACUGAGCAAUAAAAGCACGACAAAUGCAGCUCACGGUGAAAGUGGGGAGGAGGCCACAAGGCUGUGUAUGAACACGCCGGAUUAUCGCAAGACUGUGGGCUCAUCUCCCAAUGUGAUAAGAACACCGUGAACGUUUCCUUCGAGCUGCUUCUUAUUGGCAACUCAGCCAGUGCUCCAGGAGGGCAAGAUCAAGGAGAAUGGGGUGUAUGGAGAAGUGCUAAGGAGGCCACCUCAACUUUGGCCAAGAACCUCCCAUCUCGGUUGCUGCCGUCACUGGCUGUGUGGCCUCGGGCCAGCUAUUUUAACCUCUCACAUGCAAAAUAAGAGAUAAUAGUGAUACACCUGGGGUUGUUAUGAGGGUUAGGAGUUAAUGUGGGGGAAAUAUUUCAAGUGUCCCUUGACACAGAGUAAGUGCUCAUGAAGUACUAACCGUUGCCCCACCAUAUUGAAAGAGUCAUUGCCGCCACAUGGGUUUCUUGAGGGAGUGAGGUUGCCCACUGCCUCCAAUGCAGUGAUAAUUGCAAAGCUUUGAAGUCUUCCCCCACCCCACUUCAAACACGCAUGUGUACACACGCAACACAAACACAGAGCCACACACACAUACCCAGGCCUCUCCUGGUGGCCUCCUCACUCCCACAGGAUCCUACACACAGUAGGCGCUCAACACUUGCACCUUGACUUGAGAUAACGCGGCUCUGGUCACCUGGGGCAGGAAGGAGCAGACUUAGGAAGGUCACAGUUGGCUUCACUGAGACCACUGAGGACACAGGCAGAGCUUCCAGGUUCUUGGAUUCUUCUAGAAGCUCACUUAGUCCCAGAAGUGAUUUUCUCCUCCUCCUCAUCUUCUUCCAGGAAGCGAUGCUUUUCUCUUCCAGGUAAGGCUCCAGGCCUCAGGGACUCUCAGUCAGGGUCAGUGCCAAGCUUACUGUUUGUUCCAUGUCAACCACUCUGGCAACUGGGGGCUGCACUGCCUGCUAGAGGCUGGGGUUGAUUUUGUCCCCAAAGUUUGUAUGGCAGACAUCCUUUUGUUUCUCUAACUUUAUAUUAUAAAUAUUUUAUUUUUAAAAUAAGAUUUGUAUAUAUUUUGUGCUAUAACUUCUUAUUUUUUUAAAUAAUAACAAGCUUGCAGAUGAGUUGCAAGAAGAGUAUGAAAAAUUCUCAUGUACCCUUCACCCAGACACACCCAUUGUUAACGUUUUGCCCUAUUUUGCCACAUCACCCCUCUUUUUCUAAAUAAGUGUACAUAUUAUUUUUCCCCUGGUCAUUGAAGACUUCAUGCAAUUACCCCUAAAUGUUCCCACGUAUAUCUCCUAAGAACAAGAACAUUCUCUCACGUAACUGUGCUAUGGUAUCUGAGCCAGGAAAUUCAUCAUUGAUAGAGUGCUAUUAUCUAAUUAUCAAGUGCCCCAUGAUGUCUCUACAGAAUUUUCUCCCAGUCUAGGGUCCUAUUUGGUUGCCAAUCCUCUUCAGUCUCCUUUAAUCUGACAUCUUUUGUUAGCUAUUUUUUGCCUUUUUUUUUUUUUGUCUUGCAUGACAAUGAUGUUUUUGAAAGGGACACAUAAGUAGCUACCAAAAAGUUAUAAGAGGAUAGUAUUAAAAACUCUCAUAUACUCUUCAUCCAGAUUUUCUGAAAUUUGGGUUUAUCCGAGGUAUCCUCAUCACUAGAUUCGGAUUAUGCAUUUUUGGUAAGAAUAUAUAGUGAAGCGUCCGUCUCGUUGCCUUGCACAUGGAGGCACUUGAUGUCAAUUUUGUCUGUUUACUGAUAAUGUUGACUUAAGUCUAAGUCACAUCUGUUUACGUGUUUUUGUAUAUCAUCUUUGGGAAAAGGUCUAUGCAAGUCCUUUGGGAUGUUUGUCUUGUUGUUGAGUUGUAAGAGUUAUUUCUAUAUUCUGGAUAUUAGACUCUUCUCAGUUGCACGGUUUGCAAAUAUUUCCUCCUAUUCUGUGGGUUAUCUUUUCACUUUCUUGAUGAUGUCCUUUUCCAUUGUAAUGAAGUGCAAUUUAUCUACUUUUUUCCCGUGUGCUUUUGGUAUCAUACCUAAGAAACCAUUACCAAAUUCAAUAUCAUGAAAGUUUUCCCAUAUAAAACUCUUUUAAAUGUUUUAUAGUUUUAGCUCUUACAUUGAGAUCUUUGAUCCAUUUUAAGUUGAUUUUUGUAUAGACGUGAGGUAAGAGUCCAAAUUCAUUCUUCUGUGUGUGGCUAUUCAGUUGUCCCAGCACCAUUUGUUAAAAAGACACCCUUCUCCCAUUGAAUGCUCUUGGCAUUCUUUUUUUUUUUUUUUUUUUAAAGAUUUUAUUUAUUCAUUUAUUUGAGAGAGUGAGAGCACAUGAGAGGGGGGAAAGUCACAGGGAGAAGCAGACUCCCCGCCGAGCAGGGAGCCCGAUGCGGGACUCGAUCCUGGGACUCCAGGAUCAUGACCUGAGCUGAAGGCAGUCGCUUAACCAACUGAGCCACCCAGGCGCCCAACUCUUGGCAUUCUUGUUGAAAACCAGUUGACCAUAGACACAUGGGUUUAUUUCUGGGUUCUCAAUUCUACUAUAUUGGUCGAUAUGCUUAUACUGUAUAAACACCAUGUUGUCUUGAUUACUAUUGCUUUUUUGCAUGUUUUGAUAGAGGGAAGUGUGAGUCUUCCUACUUUGACCUUCUUUUUAAAGAUUGUUUUGGCUAUUCUGAAUUAGCAAUUAAUUUUUUUAAAGAUUUUAUUUUUAAGUACUCUCUACACACAAUAUGAACUUACAACCCCAAGAUCAAGAGUCACAUGCUCUUCUGACUGAGCCAGCCAGGCGCCCCUGAAUUAACCAAUAAUUUUUUUUAAAAGAUUUUAUUUAUUUAUUUGACAGAGAGAGAGAGAAUGAGAGAGAGCACAAACAGGGGGAGUGGGAGAGGGAGAAGCAGACUCCCCACUGAGUCUGAGCAGGGAGCCCGACGCAGGACUCAGUUGCAGGACCCCGGGAUCAUGACCUGAGCCAAAGGCAGCGCUUAACCGACUGAGCCACCUGGGCACCCCAAAACCAUUAAUUUUUGAUGCAAAAUAAAUGCCGGGACUUUCUUUCGAUAGCAGGGCCCACAUCUCCCUAAGUUUGGUGAGUUGCUAGGAAGACUGAAAAGACUCCAUAGUAAUUGUACUCAGGGCUAAGAUUUAUGACAGCGAAGGAUGGAGAGCCAGCAGCUGGAAAAGCUACGCAUCCGGGGAGGCCAGAGAAGUCCAGCACUCCCCUGUCCUGCCUCCUCAUUUGAGCCCACUCAGAAUGUGCUUUUUCUCUGGCAGAGAACUCCGGGGUCAUGUGUGGAAGGCCUCUGUCCAGGGAAACCCAUGCAGGUCUCAGGGGCCAAGGUGUUUAUCCGGGGACGGGUUGCCGGAUAGACUUACCCUGCUAUAAGUCACCCAUGGCAACUGAAACUCAGGACUCCCAAUAAUGAAACCAGGCAUACAUCGUCAAUCUUAACAUCUGUGAAAGCGUCCCAGCAAGCUGGUAGGGCCUGGUCCACUGCUCUAGGUGUAACAGCAAAAUCAUCCAUCACUGACAUAAUAAACCUUCUGAGAGCCACCUUCCCAAGGACUGGCCAAGGGUUCAUCAUGCCUCCAGGUUUCCUUGGAAACAUGCAAGCAAGGAGCCAGCAACCAGGCCUGCUGUCCUGGCUCUUUUCCCCACAUUUUAACAUUGGCCAAGUGGUCGUCAGCCUACAGUUAACAGAUGCAUCUAUACAGCUUAGGCAGCCUGAGGAAACCAUUUACUGGCCACUGGACGUCAGUGCCAUGGCCCUGGUCAUAGGAGACUCGGGCAAUGAAAGCACACACAUGGCCUGUCUUUCAAAUCUCUGCUCUGUAUGUGUCCUUGAGAAAAUCACAUCACCUCUCCAGGCCUGCUGUGGUUUGAUGCAUCCCACCCAAGGGAAUGUUUGCAGGAUUGCUAUGGCAGGUGACAGGCAAGGUAAGUUCUUACUCUGACUGACUGUCACACUGGCUUAACAUCUGUCUUUCCUGCGUUGGCUCCUCAUAUCUGAGAGGAUCUGGAAAUCCAUAAUCUCCACUUACAGACUGAUUCAAGAAAUCAGCACCAACCCCCUCUAGGCCAUUGGCUGAUCUUUUUUAGAGGAUUUAUCCUGCUAAACUUAUCCUACUCGGCACUUUCUACUUACGCAAAAAUCUCUAAUUCCUUUCAGACGAAUCUGUAAAUCCAGUCUGUCCCAUUUUGUGUUAAUAUAUUAUCAUAUGGAAAACAACUCAUUUACUGGCAAGGGGACAUUUAUUCAGCAAAUAUUUACUGAGCAUUUCCAGUAAUCAUAAUUCCCUUUUGGCAAACAUUUAUUGGAUGCAUACUCUGUGCAAGGCACCGUGUCUGAGCGGGGGUACAGGAGAUGCCACAAAUAACAGACACUAGGGCCCUGGCAUGGAAAUUUCCAUCUGUCUGCAGAGUAGGGUGACCAAGGGUUCUGGUUUGCCCAGGAUGGAGCGGAGGCCCUGGGGUGCAGUAUAUUCAGUGCUAAAAUUGGGGAAACCAUGGACAAACUAGACAGGUUGGCCGCCAUAUUUAACAGAUAGCUGGUUACCUUAUUGCUGAGGCAGAUAUGUCACAGUUAAUUAUUGACUGGAAUUGUUGUCAGUGCUAUGCAGGGGUGCGGGGAGUAGGGGGAGUACAGGGUGCGGUGGGGCUCCUAACAGAGGACUAUACACUCAACAACACACUCCCAACCCAAGCCACUGCCUCUGCCCCCAUAGAACCACCCCUGGGACCGACACUGCCUCCCAGGACCACCAGAGCCUGGGACCCCAAGGCCUGCUGCUGCUGGAGCUGAGGUCAGAGCCUCAAUGUGCCAAAGCUGGGCAAUAGUCUAGAACAACCCCUCAAGCUCUCCACUGGGGCCACGGUCGCCGUGGGUGCUGCCCUGACUCCCUCUAAAGCUUGGAAAGGUCUCACCGGACCCUCUUCAACACCCAGGAGUGGAAACCUCCGUUCAUGGUGGGUACCUUGCUGCCCUCUGCUCUAAACACUCAUGGAGGUCUCCUUACAGCUUCAACAGCAGAGGAGUUAAGCACCAGGCUUUGGCGUGAGGCUCUCUUGCCCCCACGCUGGGCGGGGGGGAGGGGGGGCGCGCACAACCCCCCUGCCCAACCCCACAGACACGGCCCUCCCAGGGGUAUGCAUGAGCCGCCUGAGCCCCCCACCCACUUCUGCCCUAACCUUCCUCAUGUGACCCAGCCCUGGGCAUUGUAUUCUCUGAUAUUUUGCAAAUUUCUUAUAAAUGGACUUGUAUGUUUUAUAAUCAGAAGAAAAAAGGUUUUUGUUUGUUUCCUUUUUGGAGAGAGCGAGAGAGAGU